CCACUACAAGGGCUCAUUGAGAUCUAUAUUUAUGUGUCAGUCAAACUCUAGCAGUCUUAUUACGAGUAGUAGUAUAAUCUCAAAUCAAAAGAUCAUUCACAUAACUACAGCAUUGAGAUAAUCACUGACGGUUGAAUAGAAAUUCAAGUGAUCUCUUGUAUGGUCACACUCAGUACUAGUUAUUCUCUAACAACUACCCAUACUCAUCA
rnacentral:lncRNA from 1 species